rnacentral:rRNA from 1 species
AACUAACGCUGGCGGCGUGCCUAACACAUGCAAGUCGUACGAGAAAGUCGGCUUCGGCUGAUGAGUAAAGUGGCGCACGGGUGAGUAACGCGUGGAUAAUCUGCCCUUUAGUUGGGAAUAACGUACCGAAAGGUGCGCUAAUACCGAAUAAUGCUGAGUGACAUCAGUUAUUUAGCCAAAGAAGGCCUCUGCUUGCAAGCUUUCGCUGAAGGAUGAGUCCGCGUACCAUUAGCUGGUUGGUGGGGUAAUGGCCUACCAAGGCUACGAUGGUUAGCUGGUCUGAGAGGAUGAUCAGCCACACUGGAACUGAGACACGGUCCAGACUCCUACGGGAGCAGCAGUGAGGAAUAUUGCGCAAUGGGGGCAACCCUGACGCAGCAACGCCGCGUGAGUGAGGAGGUUUUCGGACCGUAAAGCUCUGUCGAGCGGGAAGAAAUGUAUCAUGGCUAAUAUCCAUGAUACUUGACGGUACGCUAAA